UAGAGGAACUGAGAUCUGCUCGGCAACGAGGUCCUCUUUUGGCUGUUGGGUCAUCUUCCCGGCUCGAACCCUUCGAUGCUUAAGUCAGUGUAAGGCGGAGGAGGCGAAAGACAGCAGUAUGAGCUGUGUAAAGAUGACAGAGUAAAGGGUUGAGAGAUUGUUGCCUCCUUAAUCUUGGCCUGGGGUGUGGCUCUUAUGCUUGGGUGUCAUGCCCUCUCCGAUUGUGAUCUUAUCUGGUCUACUCUCUGAUUGAGCAUGAAUACCGUUGGAUGGUGAGUCGGAUCCAGUUGGCACGGUUGGUUCACUGCCAAAGGUGCAAGUUCAUCCUUGUGUCUCCUCGUGCCGAUGUGGGAGUGUUGAUGUGGUGAACCAGCGCUGGAAGUCUACAAGGGAGGCGGUUUGCUAGGGCUGAUCUGACGUUGGAGUAGUGAGGCCUGGUAGAGGAACUGGGAUUUGCUCGGCAGUGAGGUCCUCUCUUGGUCGUUGGGUCAUCUUUAAGAUGCGAGGUUGUCUCCUGGGCACUAGUGAUCCUGCACAACAGGUCGGUGUCGGGGGACUUCCCGGCUUGACCCCUUCGAUGUUUAAGCCAGUGUAAGGUGGAGGAGGCGAAAGAUAGCAGUAUGAGCUGUGUAAAGAUGAGAGAGUAAAGGGUUGAGAGAUUGUUGCCCCCCCAAUCUUGGCCUGGGGUGUGGCUCUUAUGCCUGGGUGCUGUGCCCUCUCCGAUUGUGAUCUUAUCUGGUCUACUCUCUGAUUGGGCAUGAAUACCGUUGGUUGGUGAGUCGGCUCCAGUCGGCACGGUUGGUUCACUGCCAAAGGUGUAGGUUCAUCCUUGUAUCUCCUCCGUGCCGAUGUGGGAGUGUUGAUGUGGUGAACCAGCGCUGGAAGUCUACAAGGGAAGCGGUUUGCUGGGGCUGAUCUAACCUUGGAGCGGUGAGGCCUGGUAGAGGAACUGAGAUCUACUCGGCAGCGAGGUCCUCUCUUGGCUGUUGGGUCAUCUUCAAGCUGUGAGGUUGUCUCCUGGGCACUAGUGAUCUUGCACAAUAGGUCGGUGUCGGGGGGCUUCCCGGCUCGACCCCUUUGAUUCUUAAGUCAGUGUAAGGCGGAGGAGGCGAAAGACAGCAGUAUGAGCUGUGUAAAGAUGAGAGAGUCAAGGGUUAAGAGAUUGUUGCCCCCCCAAUCUUGGCUUGGGGUGUGGCUUUUAUGCUUGGGUGUUGUGCCCUCUCCACCUGUGUUAGCUGAGGUGGUAGAGGUAUUAAUGAGGGCGUGCCUUGUGCGGCGGAGGAGUUAAUGUGGGUGGCUUGCUGCCAGUCAUCAACGCAGAGUACUGUCGACCAUAGAUGC
rnacentral:lncRNA from 1 species